UCAUGUAAAUUUCGUGAGAUUUGAAGCAACAAGCCAUGAGAAUUAAGGAGAGAGAGUGGCGGAGGAUGAAGAAGAGAGGAGAGAGAGUACGUGGUGGAAGAACCCAGAAAUUUAAUGGAGAGAGAAAAUAUUCAGAGAAAAGGAGUAGAAAAGGAGAGAAAGAGGGAGUACAAAGAACUAAUUAUAGGGUAUUAAAAGUACUCCGAAAAAGAGACGAAAGUACACUUAUCCCUAAAUAUAAUAUUCCAAUUCAGCCUAAAAUGAGGAUAGAUUCGUCAUUUAAAAACUAAGAUGAGGGUAUUAUUUCAAAAAAUAUAGUCCAAAAAUAGAAAGAUUCCCCUAAUAGAUCAAUCAUUUUGAGACACCCAAAAUAGUAUAUUUGCCUAUAAUUAUAGGACGGAGGGGGUAGAAGAUAAACAUUGAACAAACAAUAUCCAAAAUCACAGUUUGAAUGCUAGGUCAUUUGUGAAUAACAAGAAAAUAGUUUGGACAGCGGAAGAGAAGCUGAGAAAUACUUAGUUUACUCACAGGAAAAAUACCAGUCACGAUCAUAUAUGUGCUGAUGAAAAGCUAUAAGGAUGGGCAAUUUGACACUUGUAGGAAUGCUUGUAUCGUCCUCUGCACAUGAGUACCAAACCGAAAAGCAAUUAGAGAUAAGAUACAUACUAUAGAGUUAUAGUAAUUUUCUCUCUCAUGCCGCCUACUCUACUAUUCAAUGUACUUAACUCUCUAUUAACUUCUCACUUUUUUCUGGGGUUUUCGGAUUCAAACUCAACUCUUUGUGUUUCAUUCGUGUUCUUCAGAUAGAGAAUUGUUGAAGAUAACCGAGGAUGAGUUUACUAGCCUUCCUAUCUAUAACUUAUUCGUGUAUGGAUACGAGGCAAUUUUCAACCUUUUCGCCAUGGUGGGAAUUGCUUUGGUUAAAGAUAUGACGAAAGCAAUUGCUUUGAUGUUGUAAUAAAGUGGCCCACUCUAUUUCAAGACUUGCCCUCUCCUUCGAUGACGACUUGAUCUGGAUGGAAGAUUGCCCACAUGAUGUACCGUUGGCUGUUGCUUCAGACAAAGCCUUAAUAUAAUUUUCAUAAGCUUCCUUGUCUUAUCUUUUUGUAAUGAAUAACAUUUAGCUUUUAAUCUAGGCUUUUUGCAUUUGUUUGGAUGCUAGAAGUAUUAUAUAUAAUUUUUUGAGUUAUAUUUGAGAAAUUAAUUUAUAAGUGGGUUUGGAUUAAAUUUAGAAAAAUUGAGGUUUUUGAGUUAGUUUAAAAAAUCUCAGAAGGGGUUUCUUGAUUUAUGAAAGUUAAUAUAUUUUUUAGCUAUUUGAUUGGGUUACUUUAAUUAUUUGAAAGUGUUUAUA